rnacentral:rRNA from 1 species
CCUACGGGUGGCAGCAGUGAGGAAUAUUGGUCAAUGGGCGAGAGCCUGAACCAGCCAAGUCGCGUGAAGGAUGAAGGAUCUAUGGUUUGUAAACUUCUGUUAUAUGGGAAUAAAGUGAGGAACGUGUGCCGUGUUGUAUGUACCAUAUGAAUAAGCAUCGGAUAACCCCGUGCCAGCAGCCGCGGUAAUACGGAGGAUGCGAGCGUUCUCCGGAUUUAUUGGGUUUAAAGGGUGCGUAGGGGGUUAAUUAAGUCAGCGGUGAAAGUUUGUGGCUCAACCAUAAAAUUGCCGUUGAAACUGGUUGACUUGAGUAUAUUUGUGUUAGGCGGACUGCGUGGUGUAGCGGUUAAAUGCAUAGAUAUCACGCAGAACUCCGAUUGCGAAGGCAGCUUACUAAACUAUACCUGACACUGACGCACGACAGCGUGGGGAUCAAACAGGAUUAGAUACCCGAGUAGUC